AAAUUUUAUUUUGGCCAGGAGCUGAAGUUGGUUGUUUAGUAGUAGUAGUUUGAGUAGUGACCGAAGUAGUAGUCUGGUGUGUGGUAAUUGGGGCAGCUGUGGUCUCUUGUGGAGCUGGGGAAGACGGUGGAGCUGGUGUAGUUGCAGAAGGUGUGGGUGGGACAGCUGUGGUCUCUGGUGGAGCUGAGGAAGAUAGUGGAGCUGGUGUAGUUGCAGAAGGUGUGGGUGGGGCAGCUGUGGUCUCUGGUGGAGCUGAGGAAGAUGGUGGAGCUUGUGUAGUUGCAGAAGGUGUGGGUGGGGCAGCUGUGGUGUCUUGUGGAGCUGGGGAAUUCACUGGUGCUAAUGUAGCUACAGAAGAGCUUGUGUUAACAUUUUCUCUUGAAGAUAUGGUGGUGGCAUUCUGGGGAAGAAAAGUCACAUUUGGAAGGGUAGUAAUUUUGGUGGCUGGUGAGGAUUUGGGAAUUUGGGGGGGUUAUUAGGUGAAGGUGGAAGCUUAGGCCUACAGCGUUUGUGCAGACAUUUAUAGGACUUUCUAAUGAACGGCUUCUGGUGAGC
rnacentral:lncRNA from 1 species